GACGAACGCUGACGGCGUGCUUAACACAUGCAAGUCGAAGGGAGUGGCGAACGGGUGAGUAACACGUGGGUAACCUGCCCUUUUCUUUGGGAUAAGCCUGGGAAACUGGGUCUACUACUGGAUGGAUUGGGAUGGGCUCGCGGCUUGUCAGCUUGUUGGUGGGGUGAUGGCUUACCAAGGCUUUGUCGGGUAGCCGGCCGGAGAGGGCAGUCGGUCACUCUGGGACUGGCAUACGGCCCAGAGUCCGACGGGAGGGAGCAGUGGGGGAUAUGGCACAAUGGACGAAAGUCUGAUGCAGCGACGACGUGUGGGGGAUGAAGGCCUUCGGGUUGUAAACUCGUUUCGCCCGCGGAAUGGUAGUGGGUAAAGAAGCGCCGGCUAACUACGUGCCAGCCGCCGCGGUAAUUC
rnacentral:rRNA from 1 species